rnacentral:rRNA from 1 species
UACAGAGGGGGCAAGCGUUGUUCGGAAUUACUGGGCGUAAAGGGCGCGUAGGCGGCCUGUUAAGUCGAACGUGAAAUCCCCGGGCUCAACCCGGGAACUGCGUCCGAUACUGGCAGGCUUGAAUCCGGGAGAGGGAUGCGGAAUUCCUGGUGUAGCGGUGAAAUGCGUAGAUAUCAGGAGGAACACCUGUGGUGUAGACGGCUUUCUGGACCAUAACUGACGCUGAGGCGCGAAAGCGUGGGGAGCAAACAGG